rnacentral:rRNA from 1 species
UACAGAGGUCUCAAGCGUUGUUCGGAUUCAUUGGGCGUAAAGGGUGCGUAGGUGGCGCCGUAAGUCAGGUGUGAAAUUUCGGAGCUUAACUCCGAAAACUGCAUUUGAUACUGCGGUGCUUUGAGGACUGGAGAGGAGACUGGAAUUCACGGUGUAGCAGUGAAAUGCGUAGAUAUCGUGAGGAAGACCAGUGGCGAAGGCGGGUCUCUGGACAGUUCCUGACACUGAGGCACGAAGGCCAGGGGAGCAAACGGGG